rnacentral:rRNA from 1 species
UACGUAGGGUGCAAGCGUUGUCCGGAAUUAUUGGGCGUAAAGAGCUCGUAGGCGGUUCGUCGCGUCGGCUGUGAAAUCCCGAGGCUCAACCUCGGGUCUGCAGUCGAUACGGGCGGACUGGAGUUCGGCAGGGGAGACUGGAAUUCCUGGUGUAGCGGUGAAAUGCGCAGAUAUCAGGAGGAACACCGGUGGUGAAGGCGGGUCUCUGGGCCGAUACUGACGCUGAGGAGCGAAAGCGUGGGGAGCGAACAGG